UCACAUUUAAACCAACAUCAAAUUAGAAUCAGAUUGUAUGAAAAUAUAGAAACUUAAUAUAACCAUAAAUUAUAUUUUUUUGUUUCUCAUAUUUAAAAUGCUGGCUGAAAAUUUUAGUACCUACUAAGAUUUUAAAUUUAAAUGUCAUUUAUGUCAAGCUUAACUUAGCAAAAUAGGAGCAAAAAUUUUAUUUUAUUGAAACAACUACAAUGGCAGAUCAAAUGUCUGAAGUUGAAAAAAAAAUUGUAUGUGCUCAAAUAGAGCGUAGACAUAAAUACAGGCUGGAGUUCUUAAGAAAGAGAACUGAUCCAUGCCAACACUCACUACAAGCAGGAUAUGUUUUUGAUCCAGCUAUACAACGAUUUAACUCAAUGAAAGCAUGCCAAUAUGAAUACUUUAAGCCAACUCUAUCAUCAGGCAUUUCUGCAUUCUGUAUGACCAUAUUACCAAUGAUUAUUUAUGGCACUUUAAUUUGGCGCCAAAGAUCCGACUUUGAAAUGGAUUGUCGUUGUGGAAGAUUGAAAUAUAGAGAUAGACGCUUUAAGUUAGUUUAAAUUUAUUUAAUAAAAUUAUGCAAUUCAAUAUGGCUCUUGUUUUGUGUAUGUUCUUCUAUAACUAAAUGCUAAUAAGAAUUAUACUAUUUACUUACUCUCCUAAUCUAUGUGAAUUAUGAAGAAUAAAAACUAUGUUAAUUUUUAUUAUUUUAUUAUACUUAUAUGGAUAUUUAACAUACAUAACAUACAUUCUUAUCACUACAAUUAUUUAUCGGUCAUCAAGUGAUUUAUCUCUUGCAAUUACAAUAUCAUCAAACUUCACCAUGUAUGUUGUGCCUUUGUGCCAGUGAGCUGUUACUUUUGCUGCCUGUAAAGCAAAGACUUAUAUUAUUUUAACAGAAUGAAACAAACCAUAAACCUAUAAAUAGGUAUGGACAAAUAGAAGAAUAUAAAAUAAAUUGUGUACAAAAUUAAAUAUUAUACAUAUUUGCAACAAUUAAGUUUAUUUAUUUUGUUUUUACUUACAGUAUGGUUUGCAAAUAUAUGAAAUAAAUUAAAAUACAAGUCAUACUGGUCCACAGAAGUAUAGUAAAAUUAAUAAUUAGAUUAAAAUCCCUAAAUUAUAAGAGUCAAAUUUUCAAAGAAACUAAUUAUCAAAAUUGAACUAGAAAAAAGUCUGUUUAGACUAGUACUUUGACCCCGAGGAGCGACAACGUAGCUCACGGCGGCGAAUGGCUGUUACUUCUCGUAAACAAGCUCUUAAUAUUGUUAAGACAUAAUUAUUAGCGAAGAAAUGAAAAUUGAUUUAAACAUUUCACGUGAACUUUAAGAAAGUUCUAUUAAUAAAUACAGUCUAUCACUUGAAACAGUCGCGGGCUGCGUAAGGCACUCGCUUGGACACUCCAGACAUCGGACACACAUUCCGAAAGCUCGCGUUCUGAAUCAAAAAAUUACAAAUACUUAAAUAAAAUGGCGAAAAUAAAUAAAGACGUAAAUAGGGCAUACCCCAGAAUUCUAGUUUAUCGAUACUAACCAACAACCUAAACAAGGCAUUAAAAUCUAGUUGUUUUGUGUUAUUCGAAUGUUUUAAUAUUUUUAACAAUUAAUAAAUUAAUGAAUGGAUAAGCUUUGUAAAAAAGUAGUUUAUUUUUGUAAGUUCAAUACUUACGAAACCACUGUUUUCUGAGUGAUUUCCAGAGCAGCGAACAAGUUGUUACGAUUUUUGAUAGUUUGCUUUCAAAUUAGAAAUAAGUAAUAAAUUGUUAUUGUUUAA